rnacentral:rRNA from 1 species
GCUAAUACCGAAUAAUCUCUUUUGCUUCAUGGAAAGACUGAAAGACGGUUUCGGCUGUCGCUAUAGGAUGGGCCCGCGGCGCAUUAGCUAGUUGGUGAGGUAACGGCUCACCAAGGCGACGAUGCGUAGCCGACCUGAGAGGGUGAUCGGCCACACUGGGACUGAGACACGGCCCAGACUCCUACGGGAGGCAGCAGUAGGGAAUCUUCCACAAUGGGCGAAAGCCUGAUGGAGCAACGCCGCGUGAGUGAAGAAGGUUUUCGGAUCGUAAAACUCUGUUGUAAGGGAAGAACAAGUACAGUAGUAACUGGCUGUACCUUGACGGUACCUUAUUAGAAAGCCACGGCUAACUACGUGCCAGCAGCCGCGGUAAUACGUAGGUGGCAAGCGUUGUCCGGAAUUAUUGGGCGUAAAGCGCGCGCAGGCGGUCCUUUAAGUCUGAUGUAAAAGCCCACGGCUCAACCGUGGAGGGUCAUUGGAAACUGGGGGACUUGAGUGCAGAAGAGGAAAGUGGAAUUCCAAGUGUAGCGGUGAAAUGCGUAGAGAUUUGGAGGAACACCAGUGGCGAAGGCGACUGUCUGGUCUGUAACUGACGCUGAGGCGCGAAAGCGUGGGGAGCAAACAGGAUUAGAUACCCU